UACAGAGGUCCCAAGCGUUGUUCGGAUUCACUGGGCGUAAAGGGUGCGUAGGUGGUGAGGUAAGUCGGAUGUGAAAUCUCCGAGCUCAACUCGGAAACUGCAUUGGAAACUACCUUGCUCGAGGGUUGGAGGGGGGACUGGAAUACUUGGUGUAGCAGUGAAAUGCGUAGAUAUCAAGUGGAACACCAGUGGCGAAGGCGAGUCCCUGGACAACUCCUGACACUGAGGCACGAAAGCUAGGGGAGCAAACAGG
rnacentral:rRNA from 1 species